GCACUGCUAAGGAGUCCCGUAACAGGACGAAACGACCGUCCAGUGC
rfam:Schistosoma rodhaini strain Burundi genome assembly, scaffold: SROB_scaffold0004381